rnacentral:lncRNA from 1 species
AAUAAAAGUACAAAAAUAACCUUGAUUUAAAAAAAUUCCUUCAAAAUAAAUUUUUAUUAGCUAUUUUAAUUUUAAUAUGAAAUCUUUUGACUUAACUUUUAUUUAUUUGUAGGUCAUAUUUGAAUUAUAACUAUUUUAAAUAAUUUAGUUAACUAUUGAUUUAGUUAUUAAAAUUUAUAUCUUAAUCACGUGGUGGGUACGUGAUGCUAAAGCCUGGAAACAAAAACUACACAAGCAGAAGGACAAUAUUGGAAAAAUCAAAGUUAAAGGGUCCUCUCUCCACUUUCUUCGCUACUUUGGAGAGAAGAAAAAAACAUGUGGGACCCAGUAAUAUUUAUUCUCUCUUCAAUACUUCUUUGACAUGCCAAACGUGAAUAGUUACCACUUUCUUUGCAUUCUCUCUCGUUGCUUUCUCUCUCGUCCCAAUUUCUCGUGUAACA